GACGUAGGUCGCGAACGUUAUCCGGAAUCAUUGGGCGUAAAGGGUGCGUAGAUGGUAUAAUAAGUUAUCAGCGGUAAAUCGGGGCUCAACCUCGUGGAAGUCGGUAAUACUGUUAUACUCGAGUGCAGAAGAGGUUAACGGAACUCCAUGUGGAGCGGUAAAAUGCGUAGAUAUAUGGAAGAACACCAAUAACGGCGAAGGCAGUUAACUAUUCUGUUACUGACAUUGAGGCACGAAAGCGUGGGGAGCAAAAAGG
rnacentral:rRNA from 1 species